GACGUUAGCGGCGGACGGGUGAGUAACACGUGGGUAACUACCUAUAAGACUGGGAUAACUUCGGGAAACCGGAGCUAAUACCGGAUAAUAUUUCGAACCGCAUGGUUCGAUAGUGAAAGGUGGUUUUGCUAUCACUUAUAGAUGGACCCGCGCCGUAUUAGCUAGUUGGUAAGGUAACGGCUUACCAAGGCGACGAUACGUAGCCGACCUGAGAGGGUGAUCGGCCACACUGGAACUGAGACACGGUCCAGACUCCUACGGGAGGCAGCAGCG
rnacentral:rRNA from 1 species